ACAAUUGGUCUCAGGAACCCAGCAACGCUGGAAUGGGGCCCUUGGAAUGGCUGUCCUUGGGGCUGCAGGGGCCAGUCCCGAGCUGCCUCACCUGGCCAUUCUGCAUGCAGUAGUAGGGCAAACAUCCAAGCUUUCUGAAUGAGGAGGGACGCUGAAGACCCUCUCCUCUUCCUUAGGGUCAAGAGUCCUAGCUAGUCUGGUGUCCACUGUCAGCGGCCAUGACAAGGACUGUUGAAGGGGCACCAUGAUUGGGAAAGGCAAGGGGUGCUGGGAAGAAUGUGCUCUGGGUUCUCUCUUGCACCAGGACGGUACUCGCUGUCAGGACGCCGUCGGUAUUGCGAUGAGGUCUGCUCGAGCCUCAUAACUGAAUGAGAAAGGGGGAUCCAGACCCUCGCUCCUCAGAGGCUGUGCGGGCCAGCCAAUCACUGUUUGUUGUGCUAGGGAAAGAACAAGUGAUUGCGUUUGAAUGGAGGAGAGGAUGCCUGGAAUUGAUAUUACAAAUGUUAUUCUGCAUUUUAAGGAUGGCCUAUCCUGGGAUUUUCUAGGACCUAUAAUGAAGAAAAGGAGCCUGUGAGGGAUUAUCUAGAUAAGGUUAGUCUCUGGGUGUGUCUGUCAGGGAUAUUUUGACUGGCUUAACUGAGUUAGGAAGACUCAACCUAAAUGUGGGAGUCAGCAUUUCAUGGCCUGGGGUCCUGGACUGAAUUAAAAAGGAAAAGGAGACCUGAAUAGCAACAUCCAUCUCCCUCUGCUUCCUGACUGUAGAGGCACAAUUACGAGCUGUCUAAAGCCCCUGUGGCCAUGGCUCCCUGCUGUGAUAGACUGUAUCCCAGAAUGGUGAGCCAAUACAAACCCUUCAUUUCUUUUGAUGCUGUGUCAGGGUAUUUUAUUACAGAAACCAGACAAGUAACCAGCACAGAUAACCUAUCUAAUGAUGAGAAUGAGGAAUUGAAAUCAAUGAUUAGUGUUGUAAGAGGACCUAAAGGACUUUUUCUUUAGUGUUUAUUAUGUGAAAUUGAGAGCCCCAAGAUUUGAUAUCUAUAUGUUUAUAAUAGUUACAUAUACUUGGUGGAUUAGUAAAAGUUCACUUUACUAAAAUUUAUCUACUGUCUUUACCUAUUCUCGCUAAUUUUGAUUUGAAGUCUACUCUAUCAUAUACCAAAAUAGCUGUGUCUGCUUGCUCUCCAUAUCCACUCAGUUGGUAGCUCGUCUUCUAUCCUUUCGGUCCUUGUCUAUAAGUGAUUACACCAGUGAGUUGUAUCUCUUUUACACAUUUAUUUAAAUUUUUUUCAUUUUACAUACCAACCCCAGUUCCCCCUCCCUCCUCUUCUCCUGUCCUCCCCACCUGUCCUGAUCCCACCUCCCAUCUAUUUCUUUGAGACAACAGGAUAGUUGAUUCUAGUUUCAAUUCCAUCAGCUAGUCUUCAUCUCUUUAUUGGUGAUUUAAAGUCAUUUAUAUUUAAAGUUAUUAUUAAGAGAUGUUUAAUAGUUCUUGUGAUUUUGUUGAUUUCUUUUUAGAUUUUUAGAUUAUUGUUUGCUGUUUCUUUUUAUCUCAUCAUUGGGGGUUUACUGCUUUCCUGUGUUGUACUUAUGGGUUUCUUCAUGGUUCUUCCUUGUUCAUGUACUCCUCCAAUAAAAUUAUUAUUUCUUCAUGAUUAAAACUGUCACCAUC